UGAGAAAGAAACAGUCAGUUCGCUGAUUAUCUUGCGCAUGCGUGCUGCGUUCCUGUGGCUCCAGCUACGUAAAAGUUUUUAACAAGUGAUUCAAAAGAAGCAGAGAGCGAGUGGAAAAGGCGGGGGCGGAGGAAGAGGAAAGUAGAGAGGAGCUGGGCCGGGAGCAGACGCUAUUGCACACAGCAGGCCGAGCCUUCCUAGCUCAUUAGAAACUUUCAGCGGCGACGCGCACAAUGGAGCGAGUUCCUUGGUAACCUGGUCUCCUGCAAUGUUUCCUUUGCUUCGGCCAAUCAGUGCCCGGGACUAGGAGAGGUGCGGCGCUGAAGGGGUGCUCCUGUUGUCCCCCUGACUUCGCUAAUAACAUGACCGAGUCUGCGACCGUGGACCAGAGCGCUCUAGAGGAAGUUCCUCCGAGUCGGGGUUUGGCUUCUAUGAAAAGAAAGGCCUGGGCCAAGAGCAGAGAUUCCUGGCAGGCUUCGGAGUGCGAGGAUGUUGCAGCGGAAGCGAGCAAGGCUACACGGGAGGAGGGGACAGAGCAUAUACCCAAUGAAAAGAUAGCAAUAUGGCUGAAGGACUGUAGAACCCCGCUGGGAGCGUCUUUGGAUGAGCAGAACAAUCCUGUUAGCUCACAGAAAGGCAUGCUAUUAAAGAAUGGUGGAAGCUUUGAAGAUGAUUUGUCUCUUGGAGCAGAAGCUAAUCACCUCCUUCAAAGAUACCUGCCGCUGGAUACCCCUUUUAGUGCCGUGCUGGCAAAGGAGCGCAGAUUCCAGUUUCACCAGAAAGGGAGAAGCAUGAACUCCACUGGUUCUGGGAAGAGCAGCACCACUGUAUCAAGUGUUUCAGAGUUACUAGAUUUAUACGAAGAAGACCCAGAAGAAAUUCUUUACAAUCUUGGAUUUGGUAAAGAUGAACCAGAUAUCGCUUCUAAAAUACCAUCAAGGUUUUUCAACAAUUGUUCUCUUGCCCAUGGGAUUGAUAUCAAACUGUUUUUGAAUGCUCAGAUGCAACGUUUAGAAGUGGAAAAUCCCAACUUUGCAUUAACAAGUCGAUUUCGACAGAUUAAAGUCCUUACUGAUGUGGCAAAUGCAUUUUCUUCUUUAUACUCUCAAGUUAGUGGAACCCCACUUGAGAGAAUAGGUAGCUCCAAAUGUCUGAUACCUGAUAAAGAUCAAGAACCUGCCAAGCCAGCACCUCUGGUAAGGUCUUCAAGCAGGCUAAUGGAAACCAUAUCCAAACUUAAUUUGUAUGGGAAUCGGUUAACUUCAGAGAGCAACGCUUCUGACGAUGACAAACGUCAAAACGGCCAAGAUGGCUCUGUUAAAAUAGAUCAAAAAUCACAGAAACUUUUUAAAAAGAAUUCUCCACCUCUGGCCACAGUUAGCGAGGAGACUUCAAACUCUGGGAUAGUCUUGGACUUAAACCCCAUUGAUACCUCUUCCCUUCCAAAAGAGAAAAGUGCUGAUAAUUUGGAUGAAGUAUUGACUGGGUCUUGCACUGAAAAGACAGAAGAGAGUUCAGUUAGCCAAAAUGAAUAUGACAUUUCAAGUAUUGCAGACUCCUCUGCUAAAAAUACAGAUAUUAUUACAGAUCAGGAGUCAGAAAGUUAUCUAACAGAAGAAACCCCUCACACAUCUACACCAGAGAAGGAGUUGUAUGCACCAAACAAAACAAUACUGAACCUGCUCAAUCAGCCAAAGGACUCUUUUGAGCUUGAAGAGUUGCAGGGAACAGAAGAUGAACCUCUGCACAACCCUCAGUCGUGUCACAUCUUAGAAAAGCUGGGCAAAGAUAAUCUGCUGAGAACCGCCAGCCAACAUUCUGAUAGUAGCGGGUUUGCUGAAGACACAUCUGCAGACUCUCCUUUAGCCAGUCUUGCCCAAGGCCAGGAAUCAUUGCAAGCCAUGGGAAGCAGCGCUGACAGCUGUGACAGUGAAACAACUGUUACAUCGGUGGGUGAGGACCUUCGGACGCCAUUAGCAACAGACCAGCCAGAAUCCACUGACUUUGACUUUGAGGAUGAGUUCUUAACGCCAAAUUUCAUCGUGGAAAGCAACAUUUUUUUCAGGGACAACCAAGAAAGUAAGACGGAAAGAUUACAAACUGACUCGGAACAAUUAAAUCCAUCAGAGGAAUGCAAAUCUAAUGAGGACCUACUCUCUGUCAUGGAGAGUAAUACUGAAGAAUCUGACUUGCCUCACGAUUAUGCAGUAGAAAGUGAAAUUGAUACUGUCAGUGAGUAUGAAGCAAUUCCCUAUACCACCCAUCAUAUUCCUGAACUGGUGGAUUCUUAUUCAGACUACGGAUAUAAUCAUAGCUGUUCAGAAAAAAAUAGUUCCUGUUCUCUGGACCGUGUAAAUGUGGCAUUGCAGAGAGCACAAAUGAAAGUGAUCAGUACCUCAGAGGAGGCCACCUGUAGAACUGGCCGCACCAUAAUAACUUCAAAGGACCUGAUAAAAAAGAGAGGCAAUUUCUCCAACUCCAGCUACCCACUAAGGAGGUCACAGUCAUUGCCUUCUGCCCUGCUUAACCCAGUUAGAGUUGUGUCCAAGGUAAAUAUUGUUCUAACAUCAGGCAAAGCAACUGUGUGUAGCCCCCCCUCAUUCUCCUACAAGUAUUCUCCAGAGGAAGAAGAAUCUUUGGAACAAAUAGAGGAAGACCCCGACACUAACUCCAGCCCUGAUGACAUCUCUCCAAAAUCAGAACUAAAAGAGGUGCAUAAAAGUGGGCCACAGAGAAUACCAGAAGAUCCCCAUCCAAGGCCCCAGUCUUGCACUACACAUGCACCAUCAAACAGGUCACAAUCUUCCUGUUCUCUGCAUUCAUUGCUCUCAGAUUGGCAUGAAAAGUCAUUGUGUGAUCAUGGAAGAGCAUGGAGCACACACAGUGUCCCUAAUUGUUCGGGAGCACCAUGUGGAAACUUUAUCUCACCCUUUUCUUGUCCGGUGGCUCCCCGGUUUCCUUAUGGAUCUCUUCAUAGGUCUUGUUCUGGAUGUACACUGCCCAUAAAUUCUCCACCUUCUACUACUGAAAUGCAGUUACGGAGAGUGCUGCAUGACAUAAAAAGCUCGCUACAGAACCUUUCACAGCACCCUGUAAUGAGAGGGAAUGACAGAUCUGCAAGUGGAUUCAGUAUGCAUCGAUCUUCUGUUCUGCCACUAUAUGAGAAUACCUUCCAGGAGCUUCAGAUCAUGAGGAGAAGUCUUAACUUAUUUAGAACACAGAUGAUGGACUUGGAACUCAGUAUGUUACGCCAGCAAACAAUGGUCUACCAGCAUCUUACUGAAGAUGAAAGAUAUGAAGCUGACCAGCUACAGGGCUUGAGAAAUUCAGUACGGAUGGAGCUGCAGGAGCUGGAACUACAGUUGGAUGAACGACUCUUGACUCUUGAGGAACAACUGAGAAACUUUCAUGUUUCCCCCUUUCAGAGGCAGUCUUCUAUGGGAAUGUAUGGAGGCAGGAGUACUGAAAACCUCUCUUUCUCCUCUCCUCUGAAUGUCAUAGAACCAGUAACUGAACUCAUUCGAGAGCAAACUCACCUAAAAUCUGAGCUGGGGCUUGAGGGUUUGAGUUUAGGACCUGGUGGAGACCGCUGUGAUUCCGUGGCCUCUGAUACUUCCUCUAUUUACUCAAGUCCACCCCAUAAAAGUAAGAAAGGAUUAACAAGUUCCUGUGACUCAAUUGACAAAUCAAAACCUCACCCUACAUCAAGCAAAAAUAUUUUUCGGGCAUCUGUUGCUUUGACGCCAAGUCCUCCGACUAGACCAGGCGAUAUUCAGAACCCUGUUGAUGAUAUGCCAGAGGAUUAUGGGAAAUUAAAAGUGGAGCCUACAGAGAAACCUGAACAGGUUCUGUUAUCAUCCCCAGCCAAUGAGAGUGCCAAAUGGACUGCUGAAGAGAGUAUAGAGUUGCAGCAAGUAAUACGUGAGAUAAAAGAAUCAAUUGUUGGAGAUAUCCGAAGAGAGAUUGUGAGUGGACUUCUUGCUGCAGUAUCUUCUCCAAUUCGCUCAUUGGAUGGCAAAACUGACGGGAGAAUUUAAGGCAAGGGCUUGGAUAGUAUGAGAAUACCUUACUGGAAAAGGGUGCAGAUAUGCAUUAGACGCAACCUACCCAAAUGUCUGGUCGUCAAGAAUUGGGUCCGUUAGCAAAAAUCGACAGAAACCUUUCCUUUAUGAAACGAGUCGUGGUGCCGAGCACAAGAUUCAGGAGAGAAAUAUGCUGCUGACACAACCUACUGUUUGUCUAAAUUACGUUGUGCAUUUCCCUUGAACCGAUGUGUGUUUAUUUAGGCGCUAUGCUUGUUUCCAAUAAGUGAACUGUGGAGGUCUGUAAAUUGUAUUUAUUUCAUUGUGCUGUUUUCCCCUUAAAGAUUUUUUUUUUUUGGAUUUUGAGAAACUUGAAUUUUUUUUUCUUUUACUAAUAUGUAACCUUCCCACUGCUAGUCGGGAAAUGGACAGUGCGCUGCGAGAGGUGAAACGGUUAAUUUACAAUGUACCUUAAUCUGUCUAGCUUGGACACUGACCUCCAUGAGGUAUCAACUGUGCAAUAUGUGAUUCACUUUGAGAGCUUACAACAAACUUUGUAUUUUCUACUGCUGUGUAGUGCCACAUUAAGCCAAUGUUCUGAAUAUUUGCUGUAUUAAAUUCAAGACAGAGCUAUAGAGAUAUAAAUAUCCCCCCCCCCUUCUAUUUGUGCUUGUGUGGAAUUCUACCUAAACUACUUCAAGUUCUUACACUGAAAGCUGUUUUUCUUCACAAAUAUUUAAAUGAUUUCCAGUAGCUCGGUCAGGGUUUUUUGUUUUUUUUUUAAAUGUGCCACAUUUUAACACUAUAUUUUUUUUAAUUUUGUUUCCCAUGUGAUUCAAACCAUUUUGAGUGCAAUUGAGCGCAUUGUACUACUGAUGACUGGAAGCCAAAUACAGUUAGUUGUAAAGCAUACUUUCCCCGCUGUAGCACUAUCCAGUCAUGUGGGUUUUAGUUCCUCUCUGACACUGUUUGAAGUCGAUCUCAAACCAAGGCAUGUUGUGGCACAUUGAAUAUUGUUGGGAAAAACCUUUGUGCAGGUUUCAUCAUUUAAUAUUCUGCUGAGCUCCAGCUAGAAGAUUCAUUAGAUUUUAAAUGUUCUGCUGAAAGUCUAACAAGCAAAAAAUAUAUAUACAGUACACAAGGGCUGAUUUCUAAAUAUAUAAAUAAAGUAUUUAUUUUGCAUA